GACGAACGCUGGCGGCGUGCCUAAUACAUGCAAGUCGAACGCUUCUUUCCUCCCGAGUGCUUGCACUCGAUUGGAAAGAGGAGUGGCGGACGGGUGAGUAACACGUCGGUAACCUACCCAUCAGAGGGGGAUAACACUUGGAAACAGGUGCUAAUACCGCAUAACAGUUUAUGCCGCAUGGCAUAAGAGUGAAAGGCGCUUUCGGGGGUCGCUGAUGGAUGGACCCGCGGUGCAUUAGCUAGUUGGUGAGGUAACGGCUCACCAAGGCGACGAUGCAUAGCCGACCUGAGAGGGUGAUCGGCCACACUGGGACUGAGACACGGCCCAGACUCCUACGGGAGGCAGCAGUAGGGAAUCUUCGGCAAUGGACGAAAGUCUGACCGAGCAACGCCGCGUGAGUGAAGAAGGUCUUCGGAUCGUAAAACUCUGUUGUUAGAGAAGAACAAGGACGUUAGUAACUGAACGUCCCCUGACGGUAUCUAACCAGAAAGCCACGGCUAACUACGUG
rnacentral:rRNA from 1 species